rnacentral:rRNA from 1 species
CCUACGGGAGGCAGCAGUGGGGAAUAUUGCACAAUGGGGGAAACCCUGAUGCAGCGACGCCGCGUGAGUGAAGAAGUAAUUCGUUAUGUAAAGCUCUAUCAGCAGGGAAGAAAAUGACGGUACCUGAGUAAGAAGCCCCGGCUAACUACGUGCCAGCAGCCGCGGUAAUACGUAGGGGGCAAGCGUUAUCCGGAUUUACUGGGUGUAAAGGGAGCGUAGACGGCAGUGCAAGUCUGGAGUGAAAGGCGGGGGCUCAACCCCCGGACUGCUCUUGAAACUGUACGGCUGGAGUGCAGGAGAGGUAAGUGGAAUUCCUAGUGUAGCGGUGAAAUGCGUAGAUAUUAGGAGGAACACCAGUGGCGAAGGCGGCUUACUAGACUGUAACUGACGUUGAGGCUCGAAAGCGUGGGGAGCGAACAGGAUUAGAUACCCUAGUAGUC